UAGGAGGCUGAUACACAAAUUGGGCUAAGUACUGCUCUAAUUGUCACCAUACCUCCCUAGAAUAAACUGCCUUUUGACGACCGGGACAAAUUGAGUGAAAUCGUAACGGACAAAAAAAAAAAGGAGGCAGCCUAGC
ensembl:snoRNA small Cajal body-specific RNA 8